GAUGAACGCUAGCUACAGGCUUAACACAUGCAAGUCGAGGGGAAACGGCAUCGAAAGCUUGCUUUUGAUGGGCGUCGACCGGCGCACGGGUGAGUAACGCGUAUCCAACCUGCCCAUCACUUGGGAAUAACCUUGCGAAAGUAAGACUAAUGCCCAAUGACAUCCCACGAAGGCAUCCGAAUGGGAUUAAAGAUUUAUCGGUGAUGGAUGGGGAUGCGUCUGAUUAGCUUGUUGGCGGGGUGACGGCCCACCAAGGCAACGAUCAGUAGGGGGUCUGAGAGGAAGGUCCCCCACAUUGGAACUGAGACACGGUCCAAACUCCUACGGGAGGCAGCAGUGAGGAAUAUUGGUCAAUGGGCGAGAGCCUGAACCAGCCAAGUAGCGUGCAGGAGGACGGCCCUAUGGGUUGUAAACUGCUUUUAUAAGGGAAUAAAGUGGGUCACGUGUGACUUUUUGCAUGUACCUUAUGAAUAAGGACCGGCUAAUUCCGUG
rnacentral:rRNA from 1 species